GUAGAUGCUCAUUCCACCUUCUAUGUUUGCUUCGGCUUCAUAAUCCUGGGAAUGACGCAGAGCCAAUUUUGAGGUGCCUAUCGUCCAAUUCCAGAUGAAGAUGUCAAUCUCCAUCGGGCCUUUCGGACAUAACGUUGAGUGAGGCACCAUUCUGUUGUCUUAAUAGAUCUGAUAUUUUCAACGCUUACCGUAUAUCGGUAAGCGUUUUUUU
rnacentral:sRNA from 1 species